rnacentral:rRNA from 1 species
UACGUAGGGGGCAAGCGUUUGUCCGGAAUCAUUGGGCGUAAAGCGCGUGUAGGCGGCUUGAUAAGUCUGCUCUGAAAGCCCGGGGCUCAACCCUGGGAGGCGGGUGGAUACUGUCGAGCUCGAGUCCGGAAGAGGCGAGUGGAAUUCCUGGUGUAGCGGUGAAAUGCGCAGAUAUCAGGAGGAACACCGGUGGCGAAGGCGGGUCUCUGGGCAGUAACUGACGCUGAGGAGCGAAAGCAUGGGGAGCGAACAGG